UACGAAGGGGGCUAGCGUUGUUCGGAUUUACUGGGCGUAAAGCGCACGUAGGCGGUUUGUUAAGUGAGAGGUGAAAUCCCAGAGCUCAACUCUGGAACUGCCUUUCAUACUGGCAAGCUAGAGUCCGGAAGAGGUAAGUGGAACUCCUAGUGUAGAGGUGGAAUUCGUAGAUAUUCGGAGGAACACCAGUGGCGAAGGCGGCUCACUGGCUCGGUACUGACGCUGAGGUGCGAAAGCGUGGGGAGCAAACAGGG
rnacentral:rRNA from 1 species